AGAUUGAACGCUGGCGGAAUGCUUUACACAUGCAAGUCGAGCGGCAGCGCGGUCUUCGGACUGGCGGCGAGCGGCGAACGGGUGAGUAAUACAUCGGAACAUGCCCAGUCGUGGGGGAUAACACUUCGAAAGAAGUGCUAAUACCGCAUACGUCCUGAGGGAGAAAGCGGGGGAUCGCAAGACCUCGCGCGAUUGGAGUGGCCGAUGUCAGAUUAGCUAGUUGGUGGGGUAAAGGCCUACCAAGGCAACGAUCUGUAGCUGGUCUGAGAGGAUGAUCAGCCACACUGGGACUGAGACACGGCCCAGACUCCUACGGGAGGCAGCAGUGGGGAAUUUUGGACAAUGGGGGCAACCCUGAUCCAGCCAUUCCGCGUGAGUGAAGAAGGCCUUCGGGUUGUAAAGCUCUUUCGGCAGGAACGAAACGGUGAGCUCUAACAUAGCUCGCUAAUGACGGUACCUGAGGAAGAAGCACCGGCUAACUACGUGCCAGCAGCCGCGGUAAUACGUAGGGUGCGAGCGUUAAUCGGAAUUACUGGGCGUAAAGCGUGCGCAGGCGGUUGUGUAAGACAGGUGUGAAAUCCCCGGGCUUAACCUGGGAACUGCGCUUGUGACUGCACGGCUAGAGUAUGGCAGAGGGGGGUGGAAUUCCACGUGUAGCAGUGAAAUGCGUAGAGAUGUGGAGGAACACCGAUGGCGAAGGCAGCCCCCUGGGCCAAUACUGACGCUCAUGCACGAAAGCGUGGGGAGCAAACGGGAUUAGAUACCCUGGUAGUCCACGCCCUAAACGAUGUCGACUAGGUGUUCGGUGAGGAGACUCAUUGAGUACCGCAGCUAACGCGUGAAGUCGACCGCCUGGGGAGUACGGUCGCAAGAUUA
rnacentral:rRNA from 1 species